rnacentral:rRNA from 1 species
UACGUAGGUGACAAGCGUUGUCCGGAAUCAUUGGGUUUAAAGGGUCCGUAGGCGGGUCUGUAAGUCAGUGGUGAAAUCUCCCGGCUCAACCGGGAAAUGGCCAUUGAUACUGCAGGUCUUGAAUUAUUGGGAAGUAACUAGAAUAUGUAGUGUAGCGGUGAAAUGCUUAGAGAUUACAUGGAAUACCAAUUGCGAAGGCAGGUUACUAUCAAUAUAUUGACGCUGAUGGACGAAAGCGUGGGUAGCGAACAGG